CGGACGGGUGAGUAACACGUGGAUAACCUACCUAUAAGACUGGGAUAACUUCGGGAAACCGGAGCUAAUACCGGAUAAUAUUUUGAACCGCAUGGUUACAAAGUGAAAGACGGUCUUGCUGUCACUUAUAGAUGGAUCCGCGCUGUAUUAGCUAGUUUGUAAGGUAACGGCUUACCAAGGCAACGAUGCAUAGCCGACCUGAGAGGGUGAUCGGCCACACUGGAACUGAGACACGGUCCAG
rnacentral:rRNA from 1 species